rnacentral:rRNA from 1 species
UACGUAGGGUGCGAGCGUUAAUCGGAAUUACUGGGCGUAAAGCGCGGGCAGGCGGCUCGAAACGUCUGAUGUGAAAUCUCCUCGCUCAACGGGGAGAGGCCAUUGGAAACGGUCGAGCUGGAGGGCAGUAGAGGUAGGCGGAAUUCCGGGUGGAGUGGUGAAAUGCGUAGAGAUCCGGAGGAACACCAGAGGCGAAGGCGGCCUACUGGGCUGCACCUGACGCUGAGCCGCGAAAGCCAGGGGAGCGAACGGG